GAAAGCCAGGCUGCCCUCACUACAGCCGGGCCAUCCACGCUGGCCACCCUUCCACCUGGGUUGUCCCCUCCUGCCCUCACUACAGCCGGGCCAUCCACGCUGGCCACCCUUCCACCUGGGUUGUCCCCUCCUGCCCUCACUACAGCCGGGCCAUCCACGCUGGCCACCCUUCCACCUGGGUUGUCCCCUCCUGCCCUCACUACAGCCGGGCCAUCCAUGCUUGCCACUAGUGCAUCUCAGUGGUCCCUCACAGAGGAUGACCUUUCACCUCUUUUCCCUAUCCCUACUGAGCUUCCCAAACAUAUUUUUUCUGUCAGCUCUGAUGGUGUCCCAGAAGUCACUCUGACCCUGGUUCCUAUAUCUUUAGAAGAGGAAGUCGUUUCUACCCAAGAGCCUGCAGUGUUUUCACCAGAGUCGGUCCGGCCGUACCCGAAAGCUUCCCCGAGAAAGGCCAAUCGGCAGCAACGCAAGAAAAAGACUUCCACUAUUUUAACCGACACCCCGGAAAAGCAGCCCCUGGAAGAGGAGAAGAAAGCCUCCUCUUUGAAAGUAAAACGGAAGAUCAUAGAAACGAAGGAGGGAGGAAAAAGGAGGAAGAAGACAAAUUCAGAUACUCAGUGUCUGGUGUGUGCUGAAUGGUUUUCGGCCUCAAAGCCUGGUGAGAAGUGGGUGUCGUGCUGCGGGUGUGGGUUGUGGUCCCAUAUUGAAUGCACCACUGGUGACAAACAGUAUGUUUGUCAUCACUGUGAGGAGUGAGAUAAUAAAGUGAAUAAAUAAAUGAAUUAAAUAAAUGAAUUUCUUGCUUAAAUAUUUUGUCCAGUUCUUUUAUAAUAAAGUUUAAAGUUUUUUCAAUGCUUGGUCAGUCACCAUCAAUGGGUUUAAAUGGGUGUCUCAACUGUACCCGGGUACCGUCUCAACUGUACUCACCAUGGGUACGGUUGAGACAAAAUCGCACCUCAUGUAUAUGAGCAAAUUAUGAAUAAAUUAAAUUGGUUAGGGGUAUUAUUGAUUGAUUCUAUUUUAGUAUACAAUCAAAGGGAACAGCAUAUCAAAUAUCACUUAUUUUCAGUGUCUAGUUUUUGUGCAGUAGUGUAAAAAGCCAAAAGUGUCUCAACCGUACUCGCUCUACCCUACUUUCUUCAAAAAGGUGACAAUACCCACACAGCAGUAGACUCCUAGGCGGAUCCGCAUAGGAGUCACCAAACCCGCGUUACUGUCACAUCCGUUUUGGUGCCGCCCAGAGGACCCGUGUCGGAUCCGCGAACGCGGACGCGCCAUAACGUUUGAAAGCCUAUCACCAAGAGCCGAGACGAUCAUAUCAUUUGAGAUUUUCUUUGCUGGAACACGGUUGCGUAAGUAUGAUUUAUUAUUAUUAUUUGAUUUAUUUGUUGAUAUAUUGCAGAUCCUGAGCGGACCCGUGUCGGACCCGUGUCUGAUCCGCGAACGCGGAAGCGCCAACACGUUGAAAGCCUAUAAAGAGCAGAGACGAUCAGUUGAGACUUUCUUUCUUUGCUGGAACCCGGUUGCGUUACGUAAGCAUGAUUUAUUAUUGAUUUUGAUUUAUUUAUGUAGGCCUAAUUAUUUAUUGAUAGGCCUAUAUUGCGACAUUCACAGUAAACAUUG
rnacentral:lncRNA from 1 species